GAAAAGAUAAGAGAACCUCCAGGUUAUAUCUCCUUGUGAUUGAAUAAGCUACAAGAUUUAUUACACGCUGAAAACAACUUACAAACCAGCUAUAUUUAUAGGAUUCUCAAACAUGAUUAAGAUAUCAAGUGCACCUUUAUAAUGGAAUCUAGCUUGCGUAAGAAAAUCAAAACUCCUUGAUGAAGUCAUAUGUAUGAGGAAUACAUUUGUCUGCCUUCUAUUGGUUACAAAUUGAGCUGCUCCUUCGACUAUAAAAUCUUGCAAAUAUGGUACCUGGCUCUUGAAGUCACCAUUAUGAAUAUAUUCCUUGAUAGGCGAUGUUCAGAUCCACCACAAUGAACUUGCCUCGUACUUUGAUUUGUACCCUGUCCAUGGUGUUGAAGCUCCCAGGUUCUGCAACCAGAGACAGAAAUUCAAUACUGUUUAAGGGUUUUGCUGUCAAGUUUUUUUGUUUUGUUUUCUGUGAGUUUAAAAAAUAAAAACGAAAAGAAAAUUACUAGUAACAUACAAGACAAUGUUCAUGGUUACGAUAUUCAGUCAGGGUUCUAAAAUUGUGUCCAUCUUGUCUAAUUAUAGUUUCUAAUGCAGGUUUUGCAAUGUAAGUUGCUGGAUAUAAACACACUUGAUUAGUUCAGAAACCUUAUACGUCAAUUAUUAUGACAAAAAAAAUAACAAGUACUUCAAAUUAAUUAAUGAUAACAAUGACAUUAAAGAAUGCUCAAUUUUGAACAGGAUUGAUGAUAAUAUUCAACACAUAAACUAAAAUAGAAUUAUUCAAUUUAAAAGAAUCAAGCUCAGUGGCAUCAACUGCAUAUCACUAAGUGGUAAGUUUUAGCAUUUUAUCUCACCAAACAAGAGAAGCAUAACAACACAUUGUCCAAUAUUCAUUCAGCAACCAUUUGUUUGAAUAAGCCAUCAGCUAUUUAGUUAAUCAAUUUCAGGUGAUUCCUCCUAGACCAAAUGGAUCAGUGACAUCUUUAUUUUAUUUAUCAGUUAUUAUGGUUUCUGAAAAUAGCUAAUUAAGGGACAUCUUAUUGGUUGGUAAGCUUUAAUGGCAAUAAAUGAGACAUCAACGCAAAUCACAAAACCCUAAAUAUACAACCAAUAGGCCAGCUACGAAAAUAUCACAAUUUGCAAGUUCCUAAUCGAAAAUAAUAGCAACUAGUGCAAUGAAAUUCUAGGAUAUUGAAGCUUUAUUCACACCUGAUAAUCCAAUUGAAUGGAGUUAUGAUACUAAAGCGUUCCAACCAAUUUUCAUAUCCAAUAACUGCAUUGCAAAACCUGCAUUAGGAAUCAUAAUAAGCACAAGCUAGCUACUAUUCUAAAACCACAACUGAAUAUCAUAACCAUGAAUGAUGUCCUGUUACUAUGCUGUCAAUACCUUAACAUGUCAACAUUAGCAACAAAAUCAAUGUUACGCCUUAUCAUUGCGAGGCACAGGAUCUCCAUUCACGAUCGGGUUGUAUUUCGUGGAUUCAGCUUUCAACAUUUGAAGCCCAAUCAUUGCGGCGUUGAAGCCUUCAGGGGACUUUGAGUACUUUGAACACGCCUUUCCAGCUUCAAUAAGGAGGGAGGCAAACCUUGCGCACUCUGCAGAGCUGUUGUUGGGAACUUCCAAACAUGAUGGGACAAUUGUUGUCUCCCCGACUUCUCUGACCUUGCGGAGUUGUCGUUGGGAACUUCCAAACCUUCAUCAGAGUCAUCCGUAUCACUAUCGACCAUUAUACCAAAAUAAUAUCAGAAUAUCACAGAUGGUGUUCACAUAAACCUGGACAGGAACCAAUGUUAUAAUUUCACUUCAAAGACAUAAUACAAUGCAAUUACCAUUUACAUGUGCUCAAAUAAAUGCAUCACUUGUAGCCUUCGUAUAUCAAAUAUUGUGGUGUUUCCGUCAAACAUAUAAAGCAAAAAUCUAUCACUUCAAACAGAGUUUCAUUGACUAAUCAAUUGUUUCUCAUAGAUAUAUGCAUACUUUAUGCUACUGCUCAUGCUCAUGCACAACAUGAGGGUGAAAGGAGGCACACUUACGAAAUCAUAAAAUAACUCAAGCUUUGUGCUGCAUCUGAACUACCAUGAAGUAAUACUGAUUGUGCGCAGAAGUGAAACUGAGCGAUAGAAAAGUACUGGAUAUGGGUUGCUCACCGGAAACAAUACUCCAUAGCAAUCUCCUAUACAUAGAACAGUGUUCCAUGCAACUAGUGACCCUAUUCCAAGGAGCUACCAAAUUGCCAAAGCUUUAAAAUGAUCCUACUUAUUGCAGUAAAGAUAAUGAGUUCAAAAAGAUAUUGAGUUUAAACAUUGGAUUACGCUAAGUCUGGAGAGAAAUCUCAUAGCUGGUAUAAUGAAACAAUUGAAUGAUUUAAGCACAAACCUCAAGCUUCUCUGGAGUCGUUGGUCCCAUUAACUUCAGUCAUGGCUACUAGUCCUGCAUUUCCAAAAACACAGGCAGACGUAGUGUUAUAUAAAUAUCUUAUAGGCUAUAAGCAUUGACCUGAUAGGACUUAAAUCAUGACUCUUGCUGAAAUUGAACUAAAUCUAUAAGAUGCUGUCACUGCAUCUAGUAUAGUAAUAGGUAAAAAAACAGUUAGAAACUCAUAAUGCAACUGCAAUAAUAGGCCACGCCAACGUAGGGGAAUUUAAGAAACCAACUACCUAUGUACAUGUGAGCAUAAUUCACUAUGGCUUUACAAUAACUAAUUACCCAAAGAAGAAUACUGCAUCCACGCACAUACCCAGGAUCCAGACAAGCCAUAGCUAUUAGCUUGUGUAAUUGAUGUGUGUUGUGCAAAUCAAUUGGAAGUAGCUUAUAGAGGUCACUGAGCACUUAUCCUCUCUACAAAAGUAAGAAAAAUUGCUAAAAUGAUGUUCUCAGAGGAGUUCAAGUAGUUAAAUGUGUACAACUACUGAGAUAAAUAUCCCUUUAGUCCUUCAUAGUUCAUAUAGAGUUGGCAACAACAUUAGAUCAACCCAGCAUUCUCACCCAUUACUUGAAUAUACCGAAUUCACCACACUAGUUAAAAACUCACACUCUACUUAUUGCAAAAUUGUAAGAAUAUCACAAACAAGAUGAGCAUUAGUAAAGUUUAAAGUAUUUUGUGUGUUUUAAUCAGUAACAGUACUACCCCUAAGCAUCUAGUGUGCUCGAAGAAGCCGAUUCAACCCUGUUGAGCUGAUCCAAUUCCCCACCAGAUAUCAAACAGAAACAAACUCAAUAAAAGGAUUCAACAUGUUGAAGAUGAGAGAUGAAAGUAGACCCAAACAGAGAGAAGAGUGAAUGACUGGAGUCGACAAUUUGUCUCUCUCUACCUAUAUCAACUGUGUGAUUCACAACAACUCUAUCUUGCUGAAAAUGCAAAACAUGAAUGAAGGAAUUUAGAUUAUCCGAACCUUGAUGCGGCGAUUCAAACCUGCUGCCUUCGUCAGUUUGAGUUUCUUCUCUUUGCUAACAGUAGAUGAUGGUGUGUUCCUGACUCGCAUUCCCAGGCAUCAACACCAAAACGACGGCGACUGAACACCACCGAGUCAACUCGGCCUUCGAAGUUGGUGGCCCGUCAACCCAAUCAGGCAAAUUGAACUCAAACACCAAACUUCAAGAAACGAAAAUCAAUUCCUAACUCAAGAAACGAAAAUGGAUCACCACCCACCUCUCUCUCCUAACUUCAUAUCAAUUCCUAACUCAAGAAACGAAAAUGGAUCACCACCCAC
rnacentral:lncRNA from 1 species